AUGCAAGUCGUACGAAGAUCUUCGAUCUUAGUGGCGGACGGGUGAGUAACACGUGAGAAUCUACCCUUAGGAAGAGGAUAACAGCUGGAAACGGUUGCUAAUACUCUAUAUGCCGAGAGGUAAAAGGAUCCAUCCACCUUAGGAAGAGCUCGCGUCUGAUUAGCUUGUUGGCGGGGUAACGGCCCACCAAGGCGACGAUCAGUAGCUGGUUUGAGAGGACGACCAGCCACACUGGGACUGAGACACGGCCCAGACUCCUACGGGAGGCAGCAGUGGGGAAUUUUCCGCAAUGGGCGAAAGCCUGACGGAGCAAUACCGCGUGAGGGAUGACAGCCUGUGGGUUGUAAACCUCUUUUCUCAAGGAAGAAGUUCUGACGGUACUUGAGGAAUAAGCAUCGGCUAACUCUGUGCCAGCAGCCGCGGUAAUACAGAGGAUGCAAGCGUUAUCCGGAAUCACUGGGCAUAAAGCGUCUGUAGGUUGCCAACCAAGUCUGCUGUUAAAGACUAGGGCUUAACCCUGGGAAAGCAGUGGAAACUAGCCGGCUUGAGUGUGGUAGAGGUAGAGGGAAUUCCUAGUGUAGCGGUGUAAUGCGUAGAUAUUAGGAAGAACACCAAUGGCGAAAGCACUCUACUGGGCCACAACUGACACUGAGAGACGACAGCUAGGGGAGCAAAUGGGAUUAGAUACCCCAGUAGUCCUAGCCGUAAACGAUGGAUACUAGGUGUUGCACGUAUUAACCCGUGCAGUAUCGUAG
rnacentral:rRNA from 1 species